rnacentral:lncRNA from 1 species
GGAGCAGUUGAGACUUGUAAAGGUGAAGAUAAGUGGGUGAUGUCUAAGCGAUUCCGAAAUUACUUCAAUUUUUCUCAUCCUCUAAUAGCAAAGCAUUUGAACCCGGAUGACUGUGCAUGGGCUUAUGGGAUGAAUAUCUUUGAUUUGCGUGCAUGGAGAAAGAAGAACAUUACGGAUACGUAUCAUGCAUGGCUUAAAGAGGCGACUGCGCAUGGGCUUAUGGGAUGAAUAUAUUCGAUUUGCGUGCAUGGAGAAAGAAGAACAUCACGGAUACGUAUCAUGCAUGGCUUAAAGAGGUAUGCUGAUCUCUUAUGCUUUGUGAUUUAAAUGAAGAAAAUUUAGUUAUAAACUAGGAAAAAAAAAAGAAUCAUCGGUCAUCUGAGUUCCAGCAUCGAUGUGAUUAGAUUUUUGAUCUUGCUAGAGUAUUGUUAUUCUUCUAUCAAUCCUGUUUGUGUCUGUCUCUUAGUUGUCCACUUUGUUGCUCAUAUAGCCUUUUCUAUUGAUAUGUUCGUUUAGGAAGACUGAGUUUGUCUUGAACUUCAGUAUUUCUACUACUUAGUUUUAUGUAAUUACGUUGCUACUUUUAUUUCCCGUUUGCAACAUAAAAAUAUAGUGAUUAAGGAUUUGAAGUCAUACAUUUUUUAGGU